rnacentral:rRNA from 1 species
AUUGAACGCUGGCGGCAGGCCUAACACAUGCAAGUCGAACGAGUGGCGGACGGGUGAGUAAUGUCUGGGAAACUGCCCGAUGGAGGGGGAUAACUCCUGGAAACGGUAGCUAAUACCGCAUACCAUCGGAUGUGCCCAGAUGGGAUUAGCUAGUAGGGGGGGUAAAGGCUCACCUAGGCGACGAUCCCUAGCUGGUCUGAGAGGAGGACCAUCCACACUGGAACGUAGACACGGUCCAGACUCCUACGGGAGGCAGCAGUGGGGAAUUUUGCACAAGGGGCGCAAGCCUGAUGCCGCCAUGCCGCGUGUAUGAAGAAGGUCUUCGGGUUGGAAAGUACUUUCAGCGAGGAGGCGUUACUCGCAGAAGAAGCAUCGGCUAACUCCGUGCCAGCAGCCGCGGUAAUUC